rnacentral:piRNA from 1 species
UUCGUUGUCAUGUAUUUUUUU